UACGUAGGGUGCAAGCGUUGUCCGGAAUUAUUGGGCGUAAAGGGCUCGUAGGCGGUCUGUCACGUCGGGAGUGAAAACUCGGGGCUUAACCCCGAGCCUGCUUCCGAUACGGGCAGACUAGAGGUAUGCAGGGGAGAAUGGAAUUCCUGGUGUAGCGGUGAAAUGCGCAGAUAUCAGGAGGAACACCAGUGGCGAAGGCGGUUCUCUGGGCAUUACCUGACGCUGAGGAGCGAAAGUGUGGGGAGCGAACAGG
rnacentral:rRNA from 1 species